CCUCGCGUGGCUCCUCCCUCCGCGCCGGGCCUUCUUUCUGCCUCUGUCGGAGUCACAAGAUCGCUCUGCGACCUGCUUUCGGGAUCCUUCCGCCGUCCCCGCCCCCCUCCCUGGAAAACGCUCCCCGUGUGCCCGGCGGCGCAGCCGGCACCGUCCGGGAUGAGGGGCCAGGCCCGCUCGGUGCGGCGGGGCCGAGGCUCGCGCCCGGCCGGGCAUGGGCGAGCUGGCGAGGCGGCGCCCUGCCGGGGACUCUUUUUCGUGGCGGAGGGCGCAGCCGGCAGCGGACGUUUCACCACAGGGGGAGGUGCUGGGCGUCCAAGAUGGCGGCGCCCUGUAGGCUGGAGGAACUGUGAGGGACCAUGAAAGACCCCAGAGUGACAGCCCUGGAAACCGAAGUGCCAGCUGUCCACCGAGCAGACUGCUCGUGGCCCAAUGAAGAGCGUGCAGAGC